GGGAUUGUAGCUCAGUAGGUAGAGCAGGGCCCUUUUAAGGCCAAGGUCGCGGGUUCGAGCCCCGCCAAUCCCACCA
rnacentral:tRNA from 1 species